rnacentral:ncRNA from 1 species
CUUUGCAAUCGCGGGAGCUCGGAGCACCGGGCUGAGAGGGCGCUGACCUCCGUACGGGACGUACGGAAGCCGCUGCGUCGACCGCCGAACCUGUUACCGGGUAAUGCCGGCGUAGGGAGUUGGGUCUUAUGACCU